GAUUUACAGAUUACUAUUGUGAACCUGGUUACCCAGGGGACCCGGGUGAUAGAGGCCCUAAUGGACCCCAUGGAAACAAAGGACUCAAAGGAAUUAAAGGUUGUCUAGGGGAAUGUAACUGUAGGUCUGAAGGAGGAAGAGAAGGUCCCCCUGGUCCAACUGGACCAACUGGUUCUAAAGGUUCUCCAGGGUUUCCUGGAACUCAAGGACUUAAGGGAGACCCUGGGCUAAAAGGACAUGAUGGUCCAAGAGGACCAGAAGGCUUUCCAGGUAUUCAUGGUAUUAAAGGACACAAGGGUCAAAAAGGUCACUCUUUUGAGUCAGACGUUAAAGGUG